CGCGGCCUAUCAGCUUGUUGGUGGGGUAACGGCCUACCAAGGCAUCGACGGGUAGCUGGUCUGAGAGGACGAUCAGCCACACUGGGACUGAGACACGGCCCAGACUCCUACGGGAGGCAGCAGUGGGGAAUAUUGCGCAAUGGGCGAAAGCCUGACGCAGCAACGCCGCGUGGGGGAUGACGGCCUUCGGGUUGUAAACCCCUUACAGCAGGGACGAAAAUGACGGUACCUGCAGAAGAAGCCCCGGCCAACUACGUGCCAGCAGCCGCGGUAACACGUAGGGGGCAAGCGUUGUCCGGAUUUAUUGGGCGUAAAGAGCUCGUAGGCGGUUGCGUAAGUCGGAUGUGAAAACUCAGGGCUCAACCCGGAGACGCCAUCCGAUACUGCGCUGACUAGAGUCCGGUAGAGGAGCAUGGAAUUCCUGGUGUAGCGGUGAAAUGCGCAGAUAUCAGGAGGAACACCAGUGGCGAAGGCGGUGCUCUGGGCCGGUACUGACGCUGAGGAGCGAAAGCGUGGGUAGCGAACAGGAUUAGAUACCCUGGUAGUCCACGCCGUAAACGUUGGGCACUAGGUGUGGGGCCUCCUUAACGGGUUCCGUGCCGUAGCUAACGCAUUAAGUGCCCCGCCUGGGGAGUACGG
rnacentral:rRNA from 1 species